rnacentral:rRNA from 1 species
CAUAGCGACUAUCGUGGCAUAUCAAUAAGCGGAGGAAAAGAAACUAACAAGGAUUCCCCUAGUAACGGCGAGUGAAGCGGGAAGAGCUCAAAUUUGAAAUCUUAAAGGGUUUCCCUUUACGAAUUGUAGUUUAAAGAAGUGUUUUCUGUUGGAGUUUCGGUAAAAGUUCUUUGGAAUAGGACAUCAUAGAGGGUGAGAAUCCCGUAUUUGAUCGUUACUUUCCAGCUGUGUGAUACACUUUCAAAGAGUCGGAUUGUUUGGGAAUGCAGUCCAAAAUGGGUGGUAAAUUUCAUCUAAAGCUAAAUAUUGGCGAGAGACCGAUAGCGAACAAGUACCGUGAGGGAAAGAUGAAAAGAACUUUGAAAAGAGAGUUAAACAGUACGUGAAAUUGUCAAAAGGGAAGCGUUUGACACCAGUGUUGUUUAGUUGAAAAUCAAUUCAAUAAUUUUUGAUUUUAAGUAGUAUUGACUUCAUCAGCUUGCUGCUUUCUUUUCCGGAAUUAUUGAAUGCACUUUUCAGUUAACAAGUCAACAUCAAUUUCUUUUGUUGUAAAAGGGUAAGAGGAAGGUGGCUUACGCUUCGGCGUAAGUGUUUAUAGCCUUUUACCUCUGCAAUCGGAGAGAUUGAGGACAGCAGCGUAGACUCCUUCGGGGUUAGAUACACUUGUGCUAAGCUAUAGCCUUGUAUAGACAACUUGUUGACUAUGCUCAGUCAUGUAGCUUACUCGCUUGUGCUAUUUUACCUACGCUUAGGAUGUUGAUAUGCAUGACUGAUAU